rnacentral:rRNA from 1 species
AUACGAAGGGGGCUAGCGUUGUUCGGAAUUACUGGGCGUAAAGCGCGCGUAGGCGGAUUGGUCAGUUAGGGGUGAAAUCCCAGGGCUUAACCCUGGAACUGCCUCUAAUACUGCCAGUCUUGAGUUCGGGAGAGGUGAGUGGAAUUCCUAGUGUAGAGGUGAAAUGCGUAGAUAUUAGGAAGAACACCAGUGGCGAAGGCGGCUCACUGGCCCGAUACUGACGCUGAGGCGCGAAAGCGUGGGGAGCAAACAGGAUUAGAAACCCUAGUAGUCC